rnacentral:rRNA from 1 species
UGAUAAACUGGAGGAAGGUGGGGAUGACGUCAAGUCAUCAUGGCCCUUACGACCAGGGCUACACACGUGCUACAAUGGCGCAUACAAAGAGAAGCGACCUCGCGAGAGCAAGCGGACCUCAUAAAGUGCGUCGUAGUCCGGAUUGGAGUCUGCAACUCGACUCCAUGAAGUCGGAAUCGCUAGUAAUCGUGGAUCAGAAUGCCACGGUGAAUACGUUCCCGGGCCUUGUACACACCGCCCGUCACACCAUGGGAGUGGGUUGCAAAAGAAGUAGGUAGCUUAACCUU